UUAAGAGUAACAAACUCAACUAAAGGCAGCGAAACUAAAUUAGUUCAAGUAAAGUCGAUUGGGAAUAACAAACUACAAUUUGUUAUUGAAUACAUAUUUAAGAUUCUGUAAUAUCUUUAUGUAUUAAAUUCCACCAAAGUUUACAACUAGGCCAAUGAUGAGAUUAAAACAGUGGAAGUAGGAGUUUUGUUUUGGAUCCCAUAGUUGCCACUAAACAGCCAGUCUUCUUGUAUGUUUGUAAGUUUUAUAAUCUCACAGGCUCCAUCUCUAUGAAAAAGAUCUAAAACUUUUUUUUUCUUCUUUGCUUUAGAAAUUAUUUUAAAUUUCAAUCAUGCAGAAUCUUAAAAAUAUUACAGGAUCAUCACUUUUAAGCAAGCAGAUGUAGUUGAUAUAAACUGUUUUCCCUCUUGACUCCAUGCUAAUUUCCAUAAGACUAAUCUAUCUGAAAGUAACAACAGUACUUGUGUGCAAUUUCGUUUGAUUUCUGACACAGUUCAUUGAUUUAAUACCAGUCUUCCUGCUUCAGAAUCCAGUAUUUCUUUGAUUUACAGAAGGAGCCACGUCAAACUGUUAAAAUCUGCCGAUACACUUACUUCCCUAUUUUCACUUACAUAUAACACAGGCCCUCCGAGGUGCUUUCCUAAGAUGUAACCAAUCUCCUAUUUGACCUUUUGCUGCCUACAUAUUGUUGAUCACCCUUUUUCCAAUCACUGCCCAGAGCAAAAUUAAGGUUGGCUACCCCCCGUCCAAUAUCUGUUUCCUCUAGUUACAUAAAUACAUACAUUUUAUUUACAUAAACACACCUAGAUAACUUUCGAUUUUUCUGGCCAUGGAGUUGCAGCUUCAUCACUGAAAACUGACAGAUGAAUCAAACUGAGAUUCAUGCCAACAUUUCACCACACAGCUCAUUUUUUUUUUUUUUUUUUUUUUUAUGUCACUCUUCUAGUCUUGACUUCCACUCCUUUAAAUGAUGCAGUGCAUCUCUGUAAGGUUCUAUAACGCAGCUACAUUGAAAUGGAAAAAGGAAAAAUCUUCGAUAUCUAAACACUGCAUGACCUGACAGGGAGGAUGGCAACAGGAAACCUGCAAUACAUAACAUCCACCUUUCCAGGCAAUCAGCCACGGAUCAUGCACACUGCUGGCUGCGAAUUUCCCCAAAAGUGGAAGACAAGAAUGAUACAAUGAAACUUUGUGGCGGCCUCAAAAACCAGUGGUAGGAAGCAAUCACAAGUGAAACAAACACCGAGGCAUGCACUUCAAUGUUAGAAGGAGAACAUAGACACAUCCAGUAACACAGUGAGCUAAAUAUAUCGGCUGGUGUAGAUGUAGGUCAGAUGUUUGGUGGGCACGGACAGGUGGUUUAGCUAAAAAGAAGCACAGGCACAACAGAAAAUACUAGAUGGCAACAGAAGAACUCUCACAGAACCGCAAGUGCCAUGGUCAAAUUUUCCAUGUAUAUAUAUAUAAAAAAAAAAGUCUUUUUUUUUUUUAAA